ACUGAUCUGUUUGAAACAGGACUGAACAUUUACUGAGAGCUGCCUUCAACAGAACAUCAAGAUAAAACAGCUUUGAAAUUCCAGUGAGCAAAUCCAGAUAAAACAACACAAUUUGAAUGAAAAAUACCAACAAAAUAAAUUCAUGCAUGAGAGGAAAAAUGCAGUGGGAUUUAUUUCUGGUUAUUUUGUUCGCUCAGCCCAGUUUGAUGGUCUGUCACCUCUAUGAGUAUCACUACAUUAAUGUGGGAAAGACCUGGACUGAAGCUCAGCAGUACUGCAGAGAGAAACACACUGACCUGGCCACAGUGUCUAACAUGGCAGACAUGAAGAGACUCCUCAGUACCAGAGUGGGAAACAUGAACGAAGCUUGGAUUGGUCUGUAUGAUCAGACAGAUGGUGACACAACAUGGUACUGGUCUCUGCCUGGAGUGGAGUUCAAUGAAAGUGAGACAAACUGGAAUGGAUUUGAAGCAAUUGAUCUUGGAUGGAAAACUGAGAAUUGUGGGGUAAUAACAGAAAACUUCAAAUGGGGAGACAAACCUUGUAACAAUGGACUUUAUUUUAUCUGUUAUAAUGAAAGUAAAACAUCAGAGAAAUUCUACCUCAUAAAAAAAUGGAAGACGUGGCUGAAAGCUCAGAGUUACUGCAGAAAGAAACACACAGAUCUGAUCAGUGGUAUGAAGCAGCUAAAGGAAUUACAACUGGAUGACGUUCUACAUGUAUAUGG